rnacentral:rRNA from 1 species
AGAGUUUGAUCAUGGCUCAGGAUGAACGCUAGCUACAGGCUUAACACAUGCAAGUCGAGGGGAAACGACAUCGAAAGCUUGCUUUUGAUGGGCGUCGACCGGCGCACGGGUGAGUAACGCGUAUCCAACCUGCCCACCACUUGGGGAUAACCUUGCGAAAGUAAGACUAAUACCCAAUGACGUCUCUAGAAGACAUCUGAAAGAGAUUAAAGAUUUAUCGGUGAUGGAUGGGGAUGCGUCUGAUUAGCUUGUUGGCGGGGUAACGGCCCGCCAAGGCUACGAUCAGUAGGGGUUCUGAGAGGAACGGUCCCCCANAUUGGAACUGAGACACGGUCCAAACUCCUACGGCAGGCA